UCGACAUCUAGAGCUCCAAUUUUGAACUCAAGGCUGUUAGUUUCAAGGAACCCUUGGAGCGGUUACAAGUUGCGUCUGAUGGCACUUGUCGUUCAUGGUCCAAGUUACAUACCUUUUAUUGGAACUUAUAACCGAUGAAGAAUUAAUGGAAUUUUGCCUCUAACGGCGAGUUACCACUAAUGAGGAUUAUGGAACUAGCCUAUGAUGUCAAGUUACCAUCUAAUGAAGAUUAAAGGAACUUACCACUGAAACAAGUUACCUCUAGUGAAGAUCUCGCUAAUAAAGAAGAUAUGCCACGUGUUAGCCUAUCAUUUGACGAAGACAAUCGGUGGAGAGGAUGUUAUACGUAAUUGUCACUUGUCAGUUUCGUACAUCUCAACAAGAUAAUAAAAACAUGAGUCCGCAUUGAAUUUAUCAUCACUUGACCCCAUAGCUUAUUGUGUCAAGUAGUUGAGAGUGAAUUCGGUGCAUGAACUUAUGUGUGCAAACUUAAAGAGGAAAUUUGCAAGUCACUGAACCUUGCACAACUAGGAAAUCGUCUUGAAUUUCAAUUGUGAUUUGUGACUAGCUUUACAUUAUGUAUUGAAACAUUCGAUUUUAGUUACCCGAGUUCAAAGGGUCA